rnacentral:rRNA from 1 species
UACGGAGGGGGCUAGCGUUGUUCGGAAUCAUUGGGCGUAAAGGGCGCGUAGGCGGCUGCGCAAGUCGGACGUGAAAUCCCUCGGCUCAACCGGGGAAUUGCAUCCGAAACUGCGCGGCUCGAGUCCUGGAGAGGGUAGUGGAAUUCCCAGUGUAGCGGUGAAAUGCGUAGAUACUGGGAGGAACACCGGUGGCGAAGGCGGCUACCUGGACAGGUACUGACGCUGAGGCGCGAAAGCCAGGGGAGCAAACAGG